CUUUAGCGCAGUAGUUAGUGUGUUAGUCUUGUAAGCUGAAGGUCCUGAGUUCAAUCCUCAAAAG
rnacentral:tRNA from 1 species